rnacentral:ncRNA from 1 species
CUACGGUAAUUGAUUCACGGGCGUCUAACCUGGUAACGGGUUAGAGCAUCACUGGGUGAAUUGCUGGAACCUCCUGAAGUCCACUUUCCUACAACGCAGCCGGAAACGGCAAACGUGACAGGUCGAAAAAAAGUGGAAUUGGACAAUCAGCAGCCAAGCUCCUGUGAGGAAACUCUGGAGAAGGUCCAACGACUAGGAUAUACCGUCUACGGCUUCGGCUAUGACGAUGAAAUCCGUAGGGCGUCCAUAGACGUUCGAAGUGCCCAGCCCCUACAGAGUAAACACUGAGGGUGAAGAUAUAGUCUAUUCCAUGAUCGAAAGACAUGG